GCGUUAAUACGGAGGGUGCGAGCGUUUAUCGGAAUUACUGGGCGUAAAGGGUGCGUAGGUGGUUGAAUAAGUUAUCUGUGAAAUCCCUGGGCUCAACCUGGGAAGGUCAGAUAAGACUGUUUGACUCGAGUAUGGGAGAGGGUAGUGGAAUUUCCGGUGUAGCGGUGAAAUGCGUAGAGAUCGGAAGGAACACCAGUGGCGAAGGCGGCUACCUGGCCUAAUACUGACACUGAGGCACGAAAGCGUGGGGAGCAAACAGGAUUAGAUACCCUGGUAGUCCACGCUGUAAACGAUGUCAACUAGCUGUUGGA
rnacentral:rRNA from 1 species